rnacentral:lncRNA from 1 species
CUUACCGACCAUUAUUUUUCUAGAUUAUGGAUCUCUGAAAUCUGUUGGAGCAUACUUGGGACAGACUUCAUUCACCUCUCCUUCCAAAACUGCCACAGGCCUGUCACCCAGGCCCCCACCUCCCAUUCAGCCGAUUCAUGGGAGAACAGACUGGAUUUCCAAAUAUGGGGGCCGGAGAUAAGGGGCCUUGAUGGCGUUUAUAUUUUGCACUCAACACCUGCUUUGGAUUGGUAAUCUGACAUGGAAGGAACUACCUUCAUAUCCCUGUCCUUUUAAGCUGGAGGACGACAAGCAACUGGCUGAAAUUUCAACAUUUUCUUACAAAACUUAUUUUGUCACCAAAUGAAGGUCUUAGGUCUUUAUUUUAGAUUGAUGCCAUUUAUUACUACUGUAUUUUGGUAACAAUUUAUACUAAGUUAGAAUACUAACCAAGCAGGACAUUCACUAACUGGAGAGAAAGCUAAUGCAUGAUCAUUUUAUGGAAGCUUAUAUUUGCACUCUCCAAGGACCACAAGAGUCAGCUGAAUAGCUGGAGAGACCAUUACAAUGCUCUCAUAAGGAAGCCUUUAUCUUUGCUUUUUGAAUCUUUCCCAGAAUAGCUGCAUUGCUUAUUAACUGAUUUUUGUUAUUGUUUGUUUUUUAGCAUAUCUGCAAUGCAUUGCUGAGCAAUACUUUGCAGUACUUUUCUUUACUGAAAAGGUUAAUAUUUUAUGGUCCUCUGAAUUCAAUGGGAUAAUAACCAAAUGUCCCGACAGGCAGUAAGUAAUAAACUAUAUUUUAUAAGACUCCUAUGCCUUGUCUUAAAGGGUCUCUGUCACACCUAACACAUCAGUCUUUUUUGCUAUGUGUAAAUAAUUUAAUCUAUAAGUAAUACUUGCCAAAUGGAUAACACAUAUAGUAAACUAUAAUUGGCCCUAUGCUAGUCACAAGAGAUUGCUGAAAAGAACUCCAUUGGAUGCCUGCUCAUCACCUGGCAUCUGCUUACAUGUGUCCCAGAAAACUUAGCUUUCUGAUGGAUCAGAUAGAAUGCUGAGAGAGACUUGUGCAUGUAUCAUCCCCUAUCUCUGUGACAAGAUGUAAUGUAAAUAGAUUUGCAAAUUUAGUUAUAAAAAAAAUGCACACUUGGUAUCCAUUCAGCAAGUAAUAUCUAUAGAUAAAAUAGCUUCCAGGUUAAAAUACAGUUACACAUGACAGAGUCCCUUUUGUGUAUUUUUUUCUAUUUGAAAGAGGUGUUUCAUUUUUUGUUUACGUUUUAGAACCUAGUACAACGCAAUAUAACCUCAAGUGCUUUAUGUAAUUGUGGCAUUUAAAACUGCAUUUUGCACAUUCUCCACAAUCACAGCCGACUGACAAAAAUGUGUCAAAAAUAGCAGCAGGAACUGACUAGGAUAGUUUUCAUAAACUGCUGUUAUGGCCUAAAUUUUACAAAUCAGACUGUUAUGAUGACUUGAUAAUGGUUAAGUGAAUUGAACCAAAGGUGUGGAUUAUAUGUACCCACAAAGCCCAGCAUGUAGAUAAAAAAACUUAAAAUAAGUGAAAUGGUACUUGACCAGUUUAAUUGAUCAAUAUAUAAUAUUAUCUAUAUAUGCAAUGUACAGAAGUGCGUUUGUUCAAAUACUUUCUGGACUACAGACGAUCCUUUUAUCCACUGCAGUACAGGUUUGUGAUAUUUAGGUUUGUACUGCAUUAUAUAGUUCAUGCAGUACAGGCUUGUGAUAUUGUGCCCUUAAUUACAGUGUGUGGUUAGUGGUUUUAGAAAGCAUUACAUGCAAAAAGCAAAUUAUCACUGGGUAUGCCAAGAGCAACUCUGCUGUUGUUGGUCUGCAAUUUUGCUUAUGCCCAGCCACUUCAAAGGAGAUGGCUGAGUAUAUUAAGACUUGUGUUUGAUAGCUGAAAGGUUGCUGCUCCCUAUCACCGGUACUAGUACAGGCAAAAUGUAACUGAUAGUCUUACUAAUGUUGUGUACAACAGCAUUAUGUUAAAGGGAUAAUAUUGGCAACAGAACCACUUCUGCUUAAUACAGUGGUUAUGGGGCGAAUAGUCUGUCUGGGUUUACACUGCUGCAUAAACCCACCUCUGGUGUUUGUCACUCAGUCAUUAGAGGGACAUCUUUGGUUCAGUCCUGCAAAAAUUACAGACCCGCAGUUCAACGUCUCUAUGCUCUGAACUCUCCAUGUACAGAUGCAUUAACAUGAUGCUUCUCUAUCAGAAGAUGCUGAUCGGUCGCAGUGUGGCGAUUGCCACACAUGCACACUUGCCUACAAAUGCUUCUCUAUGGGUUCAUCAGGAUUGAUCUAAGCAAGCUGGGUAGGGGGCAGGAGGUGUGGGGGGGAGAGGGUAGAAGGAUAACUGCACAGAGACCUGUGUGCUGGGGCAAUAAAGAUAAGUAAAAUGUUUUGGGGAGGAGGAUGGAGGUUAAUUGCCUAAGACUUGUCCUAUUGUUAGAAAAUAUCUUAAGCCAAAUUUGACCUAUCUUUGCAUAUUGCAAUAAGUAUUGUGUGGUUUUGGAUAGUAUCUAAAACGAGUUUUAAUCUAUUUAUAAAUGUGAGGCUUAAGAUUGAAGUUGUACUUUCACCUGAAGAAAAAAACAUGUAUGUGUCAGGUGCCAUAAAAUAGUAUGAAUAUGACAACAUUGGGGGCAUUACCUGCUGCCUUUGGAAAAUACAGGUUGGAGCCAGCAGUGGUAAAUACACACGGUUACUCUAUUUAAUUUAUCCUUGACAGACACUAUAUAUUUCAGGUGUGCCAAUAUAUGUAAAGAAGAUUUUUUUUAUUUUUUUUUUAAUAAUAGUUCUUUAAAAUACUUGUGUUAAAUGUAUCAAUAGUAUUUUGAAUGUUAUUUUUUUGUAUUUUUAUAAACCUUAAUUAUACCCAUGCAAAACUAUUCUAGUGAAUAAUAAAUACGGUUAAACGACUGAUCCAUUUUUUUAUUUUUGAUUCUUUAUUGUUGCACUGAUAGACAUGCAAAGUAUGACAUAGCAAGCUUAUGCAAAAACUAAAACACAGUAGUGGUAUCUUGUGGGUUACAGAAAGGAAAGUUGUGUCGUUGAUGUAAAGAUCAUCUUACAUACAUUGAUCAACAGUUGUUGACUAAUCCAUUUUUAUCUCCAUAAAGUGUUAUGUAUAC